UGGGGCAAACGCUUCCUCUGCCCCGAUAUGUUAUGUUUCAAUCAAGCAAUCGGCUAAAGUGCAGUGAGGAACGAAGGCUCGAGAUAACUUAGGCUGCGCCACUGCAGUAUCCGCGCUUCGAGUUUACAGCUGGCUGGGAGCCGGGGGAGAAGGAGGUGAGCGCGAGCGAGCCAACGAAGGAACGCUGGCGGAGUAUUUAACAGUGCCGACUUCACAAUUGGUGGAUUCAGCUCGGCAGAUCAACGUGCCUUUACCUUACGAGCAUCAGUUGUGUCGGCACACUUUACACAUAUGUGUAUAUGUAUACUAAAAAGAUCACAACCACGCUCGCUUGGACGCACUCGGAUUUAAUUAAGCGGCAGUUUCACUAGAGCACGUUAUACGCCGUGAAUCCGCAGCAGCGCAAUGCGCGAGGGUCUGAAUGAGGCUAUACACGCAGGAGGAAGGAAAACCUAAUAAAAUUCGAUUCGGUCCUUUCGCAAGAGGGUUAUUCAGUUACUAAGCAGUUUUAUCAUGGCUAAAAGACGGUUCAUCAGAGCGACUAGGAGUAGGCAGUACCGAGUUCAUGGGAGAUUCAAUACAUCUGACGCAGUUGCAUCAUAGGCAUGUAAGAGAAUACUGCUAUUUAAGCGUAUCUCGCUCGAAAACACCGGGCGAAACGAUAAAUAUGCAUCAGCUCUAUUCGCUCUGCGUACAAUUUACUAUCAGCGCCACUUUUGGCGGCAUAACUGAGAACUGUUGGUUUGCUAAAAUAUAUUGGCUUAUAAGGAGAGUUAUACAAAAAAAUUUGGUGAAAAAUUGGUAUUGCUUUAAACCAGGGCAAACUUUUUUGAAAGAUAAAUAUCA